ACCAGCAGCCAUAUCACCCUGCAGCUCAGAACUUACAAACCCCUGCAGCUCAGCAGGUGUGAGCCUGGUCAGUACCUGGAUGGGAGACCUCCUGGGAAAGCUAAGGCUGCUGCUGGAA
rnacentral:rRNA from 1 species